ACUCAAUCAAAUCUUAUUGCCACAAAUUCCAACCGUUAUCUCUUCCACCUCCCUUUUCAUCUCCCACCAAACUAGUCCAUAUCCAUCUGACCUAUCACAAAUGCUCUCUAUGACAAAAUCCUAGUUUAUGAAGAUGGUGGUAUUGAAGCGGGUUUAGAGAAGAACGGCCUCCCAAUGGGAAGUUACCGUUUGUUGCCGAAGAACUGCGACGGGUUUGCUGUUGAAAGAAGGCGGAUUUGCUUGAAGAACGGCGACGGACUUUAUGACCAUAUAUAUAAGGAGUGAGUCUUACUUCCAGUAGAUUCUUGCUCGAAUCGUAAUCGAUCCAAGCUUGGAUUGGUUCGCCGUUUUUGAGAUUUAGACCAGCAGGUACGAAUUUGUUCGAGUGAAGACCUUCCAAGUCAAUUCAAACGUGGUCAUCAUCGAUGUCGCCAAACUCGAAGUCCUGGACGGUGUCGAAUUCAACGGCGAGAAUGUGGUUGGUGAGGUUUCUGAUGUCAGCGGAGUUGAAUAGGCCGAUGUACUGACUUGGGAGAGAUUGGGGGAGGAGAAGGUGAGUUGAAGUGGAGGAGAGAGUGAAGGCUAAGCCAUGGCCGCCGAGCUUUCGGUCUCGGGGACUAUGGCGAAGGUGGUGGAAAAGGAGAGCUUUUUUGUUGGUUUUCAGGCGGAAGGGUGAUGAGUAGAAAGUCUGGCCCGAUUAACCGGCGGGUGGAUUUUGGUAGUCGAAGUAAGCUGUUGCUUUCGAUUUGGGAAGCUCUGUUUAAGGUGAGGUUGCCGGUGGUGGUGGGUGAUUGUUUGAAUCCUUGGAAGGAGAGGUGAGAUUGAGUGGAAAUGAGAGAAGAAAAGAGGGCGACGAGCAGUACAGUAGGGGACAUAGUUUGGUUACAUAGAGAAAUUUUGAAGCUUUUUUUUAAUUUGUUUGUAGCUUAUUUGAAACAGAGCAGAGGAGGAUGCUGCUCGAUUUUUGCUCUGUUUUCUUCGUCUAAGUUGUGGGUGGGAGUUGGAAUUUUCUGCUGUUUUUUUUUUUGGGUGCAGUGGAAUGCUGACUGGAUAAGUGAAUUUCGGUCAGCUGCCAAAACUCCAUGUCAUUGGCUAGUAAAUAGAUAACUAACGAAGCGGGCGGCAUAAUAUGAAAUUUUAUGUAAAAUGGAUGGUUCGUGACACAAAUGAAAUUAGUCAUAAUUAAUGUACAUUUUAAGUUUGGCAAUAUUAUUCUCGACAUUUUAAAGGUUUUGCCUUUAAUUUUUAAUUUAAUUGAAUUUUCAAUUGGAGUGCAGGGGUUGGUUGACGGUGGCGAUUUCACGGGUGCAUCUCCCAUUUUAAUCGACGACGACCACGAGUCCAUGGGAUCCAGCUUUGCCGCCAACAUCCCUUUCGUUCGCCGCCACCAAGCUUUCCUGUUUGCUGCCAUGUUGGAUUUGGUAGAGGAGGCGUCGUCGCAGUAACGGAGGACAGAGAGGAUUAUGUGGCUUAUUGGGGUAUGGUGGGGCCGGUACAGGAAGAGGAUGCUUGUGAGUAGUUAUCGCCGUCAGAAUGGGAGUGGACGUCGUCUCCGAUACGGUGGCAAUCAGAAUGGUGAGGCGGCGUCCUCGCAUCUACUGCUUCAGUCCCCCACUGUUUAGCAAAUUAGUUUUGUAAUCUAUAACUUUCAACUGAAGUCAUUCGCGGCCCAAUCACAUUUUCAAUUAAUAUAAAAUGGCCCUGGACAGUUAUGAAAUCCCAUUAGAAAAUGUAAUCGACUAAUUUAUUAUCAAUAUGUUGUAAUUAGUUAUAUAACUG
rnacentral:lncRNA from 1 species